CCUACGGGGUGCAGCAGUAGGGAAUAUUGCGCAAUGGGGGAAACCCUGAAGCAGCAACGCCGCGUGGAGGAUGAAGGUUUUCGGAUUGUAAACUCCUUUUGUUAGAGAAGAUAAUGACGGUAUCUAACGAAUAAGCACCGGCUAACUCCGUGCCAGCAGCCGCGGUAAUACGGAGGGUGCAAGCGUUACUCGGAAUCACUGGGCGUAAAGAGCGCGUAGGCGGGAUAGCAAGUCAGAUGUGAAAUCCUAUGGCUUAACCAUAGAACUGCAUUUGAAACUGUUAUUCUAGAGUAUGGGAGAGGUAGGUGGAAUUCUUGGUGUAGGGGUAAAAUGCGUAGAGAUAAAGAGGAAUACUCAUUGCGAAGGCGACCUGCUAGAACAUAACUGACGCUGAUGCGCGAAAGCGUGGGGAGCAAACAGGAUUAGAUACCCGGGUAGUC
rnacentral:rRNA from 1 species